UGGGGAAUAUUGGGCAAUGGGCGCAAGCCUGACCCAGCCAUGCCGCGUGAGUGAUGAAGGCCUUCGGGUCGUAAAGCUCUGUGGGGAGGGAAGAAACCGGACGUGGAUAAUACCCACGGCUCUUGACGGUACCUCCUUAGCAAGCACCGGCUAACUCCGUGCCAGCAGCCGCGGUAAUACGGAGGGUGCAAACGUUGCUCGGAAUCAUUGGGCGUAAAGCGCACGUAGGCGGCCUGUUAAGUCGGGUGUGAAAGCCCUGGGCUCAACCCAGGAAGUGCACACGAAACUGGCAGGCUUGAAUAUGGAAGAGGGUCGCGGAAUUCCCGGUGUAGAGGUGAAAUUCGUAGAUAUCGGGAGGAACACCAGUGGCGAAGGCGGCGACCUGGGCCAAUAUUGACGCUGAGGUGCGAAAGCGUGGGGAGCAAACAG
rnacentral:rRNA from 1 species